rfam:Pteropus alecto contig87961, whole genome shotgun sequence.
CCCUCACGAUGGCGGCACCUGUCAGCUGCAUGGAGCUUCAUUCGAGAUUGUCUGAGCUGUGGGGAUUUGCAACCAUGUUCAGUCACCUGGAGAA